rnacentral:rRNA from 1 species
CGCCUGGGGAGUGCGGCCGCAAGGCUAAAACUCAAAUGAAUUGACGGGGGCCCGCACAAGCGGUGGAGCAUGUGGUUUAAUUCGACGCAACGCGAAGAACCUUACCUGGCCUUGACAUCCAGAGAACUUUCCAGAGAUGGAUUGGUGCCUUCGGGAACUCUGAGACAGGUGCUGCAUGGCCGUCGUCAGCCCGUGUCGUGAGAUGUUGGGUUAAGUCCCGUAACGAGCGCAACCCCUAUCCCUGGUUGCUAGCAGGUAAUGCUGAGAACUCCAGGGAGACUGCCGGUGACAAACCGGAGGAAGGUGGGGAUGACGUCAGGUCAUCAUGGCCCUUACGGCCAGGGCUACACACGUGCUACAAUGGCGCGUACAGAGGGCUGCCAACUCGCGAGAGUGAGCCAAUCCCUUAAAACGCGUCGUAGUCCGGAUCGGAGUCUGCAACUCGACUCCGUGAAGUCGGAAUCGCUAGUAAUCGCGAAUCAGAAUGUCGCGGUGAAUACGUUCCCGGGCCUUGUACACACCGCCCGUCACACCAUGGGAGUGGAUUGCACCAGAAGUAGUUAGUCUAACCUUCGGGAGGACGAUUACCACGGUGUGGUUCAUGACUGGGGUGAAGUCGUAACAAGGUAACCGUA